GGGUAAGAGGGUUGAGCACUUGGUGGCAUCGAAUAUAAAGUGCUCCCAUAUGCCGUAGUUUGUAAUGGCUGACUAGUAGGAUUUUCAGAUGACAAUCCUGGAGGAAAACUCUGUUGUGCUUCACCUGAAGUCACAGGUUGAGAGGGAGCACCAGGGGGAGCUGUCUGGACCUGAGAAUACUGGACGCCAUAAGGAGGCAUGGCCUGACCCUGAACAGCCGGAUAGACGUUAGAACCCGGAGG
rnacentral:misc_RNA from 1 species